rnacentral:misc_RNA from 1 species
GAUGAAGAACGCAGCGAAAUGCGAUAAGUAAUGUGAAUUGCAGAAUUCAGUGAAUCAUUGAAUCUUUGAACGCACCUUGCGCUCCUUGGUAUUCCGAGGAGCAUGCCUGUUUGAGUGUCAUUAAUAUAUCAACCUUCUCUUUUUUGAGUUGUUUGGAUGUGGGGGUUUGCUGGCCUCUUAAAUGAUUCAGCUCCCCUGAAAUGCAUUAGCAGAACAACCUGUUCAUUAGCGUGAUAAUUAUCUAUGCUAUUGAAUGUGAGGGCAGUUCAGCUUUCUAACCGUCCUUGGACAAUUCAUCAUUAAUGUGACCUCAAAUCAGGUAGGACUACCCGCUGAACUUAAGCAUAUCAAUAAGCGGAGGA